AGUGAACGCUGGCGGUAGGCCUAACACAUGCAAGUCGAACGGCAGCACAGUAAGAGCUUGCUCUUACGGGUGGCGAGUGGCGGACGGGUGAGGAAUACAUCGGAAUCUACUUUUUCGGGGGGGAUAACGUAGGUAGACUUACGCUAAUACCGCAUACGACCUACGGUUGAAAGCAGGGGAUCUUCGGACCUUGCGCGAUUGAAUGAGCCGAUGUCGGAUUAGCUAGUGGGCGGGCUAAAGGCCCACCAAGGCGAGGAUCCGUAGCUGGUCUGAGUGGAGGAUAGGCCACCCGGGAGCGUAGCCACGGUCCAGACUCCUACGGGACGCACCAGUGGGGAAUAUUGGGCAAUGGUCGCAAGCCUGAUCCAGCCAUACCGCGUGUGUGACGAAGGCCUUCGGGUUGUAAAGCCGUUUUGUUGGGAAAGAACAGCAUCAGGUUAAGACCCAGCUGUUCUGACGGUACCCAAAGAAUAAGCACCGGCUAACUUCGUG
rnacentral:rRNA from 1 species